UACGAAGGGGGCUAGCGUUGCUCGGAAUCACUGGGCGUAAAGCGCACGUAGGCGGCUUUUUAAGUCAGGGGUGAAAUCCCGGAGCUCAACUCCGGAACUGCCUUUGAUACUGAAAAGCUUGAGUUCGGGAGAGGUGAGUGGAACUGCGAGUGUAGAGGUGAAAUUCGUAGAUAUUCGCAAGAACACCAGUGGCGAAGGCGGCUCACUGGCCCGAUACUGACGCUGAGGUGCGAAAGCGUGGGGAGCAA
rnacentral:rRNA from 1 species